CUAAAAGAUAAUAGUACGAUUGAUACAAUUGGUAUAACUGACAUAUAAAUAGGUACAACUAGAUACAACUGGUACAAAUAGUUAGGUACAACUGGUACAAAUAGUUAGGUACAACUGAAGCGAAGCAAUUGUAAUUCUAAACCCUAGCGCCGUCACACUUACUAACUCGUCUCUUCUUGCUUUGUUCACCGUCGUCGUCACCGAUUAUCCGCCGUCAACCUUCCUCACCGAAGUUUAUGAACCGUUUUCUUACCCAUGCAUUACAAAGCCAAUUUUAGAGAGAUCUAGAUCGAGAUUGUUGUUGGAUAUCUGAUUUGCGAAUCUGAGCAUAAACUAUGGUGAUGGAAACGAAGACAAGGACAAAGAUCGAUCAAAAGAGCGAAGAGAGAAGAGAGAUCUAUGAGAAAAAAGAAGAGAUCUAUGGUUUAUGAUGAUGGAGAAGAAAAGAUCUGGGAUCAAUGAUUCAAAAAAUCCAAAAAAAAAAGAGAUCUAGGGCGUUGAUGAUGAUGGUGGAGAAGAAGAGGAGAAGAAAAAAUCCAGAGGAAGAA
rnacentral:lncRNA from 1 species